UUCUUAUUGGAUAAUGACUGUUAUGUAUCAUGUUUUGAUUGGUCAAUGAAAACAACAAUAUAUUUUAUCUUUCAUGGAGUUUACAUCUAAUCAGAAUGUGACAUGUGACAGUCAUCCAAU
rfam:Glycine soja cultivar W05 scaffold13610_1, whole genome shotgun sequence.